CAAUCUCUCCCUUUCCUCUGUCACAUUUUCUUCACCCUUUAAACAUGCAACCAUAACACCGAUUCUGAAAAAGCCCAACCUUGACCCCAACUCCCCAUCCAACUACCGCCCUAUCUCGCUACUGCCAUUUGCCUCCAAGAUCCUCGAGAGAGUUGUGUACGCCAGAUUGACAGACUUUCUCAAAUCCAACUCUCUGCUUGACCCCCUUCAGUCUGG